AUAAUAGGCAGGCAGACGGCUCGUUAUUAAGUCCUGGGGCCAGAACCAGAUAGACCCCAGGCACCUCCUCUGAGGGACAGUAGGUCAUUUCAAAACCUGUCGCCUCCUCCCCCUACGCCCCUGUCCUGUCCUCUGCGAAGACAAGACGGUUCGGUUCGGGUGGUGAGUGUUGUAAAACUGAGGAAACAACGGGGGAAAAUCGGGCCACCCACCUACUCCAGCCGCGCUGCCGGGCGGCGUGUGUGAGGCUCAAUUCCCGCGCGCUCCGCCAGCGCGAAUUCCGAACCUGCGCCCUUGACCGCGCCUGAAGCUGGGGAGGGGGCGUCGUUCAGCGUGGAGCGCCCGCGCUGCCCGCCAGAAACGCCGCCCCAGUUUUGGCAGCAGCGAUUUUCCUAGAAGACGCCUGGGUUUGCGAAGAUCGAGAUCUAUUCAGGAUGACACACACUUCUGUACAAAGUGCCCUCUAACACGUUCAGGUCACCAGUGUAGUGUCUGCCUCAGUCCAUACCUGGGAGUGCUUUGAGUGAUUCUCCUGCAGAUUUAUAUUAGGCAAGAUGACUGAAAAUAUCGGAACAAGAUGGCCUUUUUGAAAAGAAACAUCUGAUAUUCAGGAACUGAAGAAAGGAAGUGAAAUGGUUUGAAUAUGGAGGACAGGAACUGUUGUCUUUCCAGUUAUGGGUAGGGGAGGGAGGAAUGGGAUGACCAGGUAUUUAACCCUUU